AUGUAAAAAAAAAAGCAGAAGGAUAGAAAAACUCAUUGAUAUAUAAUUAGAAAAAUAAAGCCAUUUUAUGUGUUCCCCUCCCAUCCCAUUUUGAAUCUGUUCAUUCUGAGAUGUAAUUAGGAGCAUUCGUUGUCAUUAACAGGCUGUUUGGAGAUUUUCCCUUCAUGACAUCACAAAGGGGCAGUACCCCUCCCCCAGGUGGGUGACACUCCCACAGCUCGGUGUUUGUUCUGCCCUCUGAGUCUGCCUUCUCACUGAGAACAAUUUGGGCAAGGGGUUAGGCAUCCGAUUCCAGAAAGGGGGCGUGGUCAGACACAGCUCAUUUACAUAUUUAGACACAGACACAGAAACAGCCUGUUCUGAGCAGGGCUGAAGUAGAGGGGUUUAUAGGCAUGAUCAAAUACAGGAUCAGAGUGGAUUUAGAACAAGAAACUUCACAGACAUGUUUCAGGGAGCUCUGAGACUUCUUUAAACUUGUUGAAAAGAAGGAUAAUAUGUGACCUUUAAAUAAAAGUGUUUUAUCGUUCCUCAUCAUGACAUGUUACAGGGUUUGUGUAAAAUCCUUUUCUAGAGUGUGGUGUACUUUGACAUAUUGAACAUGCAUACAGAAAACCCAAAAGCCCCUCCAAACACAUCAAUACAUCUAUAUCUAUAAACAAGAACGUCUGACAUUUUUAUGGACGGGUAUCCAAUUGUUUUUGUGUCAGAAAAAAAAGAGUCCCUUUAUGUGUUAUUAUAUUUAACUGUCCCACGUUGUUUAACGUCUUUAUAUAUAUGUAUGACCUUUGUUUGACCUUUAGGAUACAACGUGUCUGUUUCUGUUGCUGUGAAAGAAACUGUGAAAUUCACACACUUCAAAAGAGAAUAUUACAAGGAAGCUUUUAAUGAUCGGCCAUGUAAUAAAGUUCUGUUUAAAAACAAAACAGAUUGUUGCCGCUGUUUGGAGAAGUGUUGAUUUCGAGGAAGGAUUGUAAUCAAAAAGGUAAAUUCACAGACAUUCACAGCCACACAAAUAUAAUAUCCGUAUCAAACAACCAAAAAGAUGUCUUUAAAUUGUUUUACUUUAAAGUAUCGGCACAACAACACACAAACUAUUUAAAAUGCUCUAACACAGCCAUGGAAAUACAAAAGAGACAAACAAUGAGAUUAAUAGAAAUACUGCUUUUCAAAGGUUAGACUCAAAAUCUGUUUAUGUGUUUGAAUGUUUUUGUAAACAUUGGUCACCCCUUACUUUCCGAUAAUGACUGUCGUCCUCUUCGACAUUUAAUUCAGUCUUAACGCUCGACAAGCCGUCUCAAGUCAAAACAAAAAAAACAAAAAGUGACUGUAAGACAUAAACCAUGACAUUUGCAUUCAGUUACGCUUUACCCAGAAAACGGUUCAGGUACUUCACCUGGUGGACUCCUGGAGAUUCCCUACCUAAGACAGUUGAGACUGAUUAUAAAACCGUCUAUAUUUAUGAACUGGUUGUGUUUGCAUGUCUGUGUGUCAGAGAGAUCGGUGUGAUUUGGUCACUUCUUCGGCUGACUCUUGCCACCAAUUGAACAAUAUUUUCCUUGUUUUUCUAAAUGUCUGUAAUAGGUCAAGAACUUUCUCCUUGCUUUCUCCCCUUGUCAACUUUCUUUUCUAAUGUUUGGACUGUAGCUGAUUCUUUCAGAUCAUGUUUCCUGUCAACUUGUGUUAUUUUUGUACACCCCUGUAAUAAAAAGCAUGCCCUGAAAGGCCAGAAGUCUACCAAA